rnacentral:sRNA from 1 species
CUAUAGGGAUUGGAAGGCUAAAGUCGCGACGUCGUGUCGCAACGCCUUCAUGACCAACAUCCUGUUGG